rnacentral:tRNA from 1 species
GAGAGGUGUCCGAGUGGUCGAAGGUGCUUGACUCGAAAUCAAGUGUGCGGCAACGCACCGUGGGUUCGAAUCCCACCCUCUCC